UUAUUACUCCCUCCGUUCUGAAUUACUUGUCUCGGAAAUGGAUGUAUCUAGAACUAAACUACAUCUAGAUACAACAAUUUUUGUGACAACUAAUUCCGAACGGAGGGAGUACUUU
rfam:Triticum aestivum genome assembly, contig: Triticum_aestivum_CS42_TGACv1_scaffold_129669_2BL